GCUAAAAUUGGAGAAUCAAUAUGUUCUCGGAAUCCAUUUUCUGCUAUGAUUCCAUUAGACUAAAAGUUUCUCAUAUUUUCUAAUUCUCAUGUGCUUGUACUGCAAUUCAACAAACCUCUAAGGCUGACUACUUUUGUAUUUUUAUUUUUUUCAAAUUUUUUUUGGCAGAAGCAGUUGAAAUUCCAUAUUCAAAUCAUCAACCAGUUGUUGGAAUUCUCCCCCAAGAUGGCGGGUGAUAAUAGAGGUAAGGCUAUUGCUAAAGCCCCGAAAAAAUCAUAGAAGAAGAAGGGUCUGUUUAUACCACCAGAGGGCGUAGUGACAGGAACCCUUAAUUUUCCUAUGUUUUCUUUGAUAUGUAUAUGAUAUUUAAGUGUUUGAAUGUAGUUUUAAUUCGAAUUAGAAAUACUUUGAAGGUGAAUUUGAUUGUAGAAUGUAGUUAUGGUUGUUUAAGUUUAUGAUGUUUAAGUGUUUCAAUCUAGUUGUAAUUUGAAUUAGAAGUACUUUAAAUUGAAAUUUGAGGUUGGAUUUGAUUGUAGAAUGUUGUAGUUUAUGAGUGUAGAAGUACUUUGAUGAAUUGCAUUGUUGAUUUGGUCGAUGAAA